AAGUCGUAACAAGGUUUCCGUAGGUGAACCUGCGGAAGGAUCAUUAACACGUAUCCACGUAUCCACCCUUUAGUGCAUUUGUUUUCAUCUCUCCCUUCAUCUCACAUGAAUUGGCUAGUGUUGUAUUCGAUCAGUUGAAUAGGUCGCUUCUGCGUCAUUCGAUACAACAUGACAUUACAAUUGGAGUGAGUAUGGUAGGUUUAUCUUUUCUUUUUCACCUUUCCUUUCGCUAACCUUCUCUAUUCACGAAGGUUUCCGAUUGGAUCGAAAAAGAAAUCCAUCAUACACACCUUUCACAACAAUUUUUGCUAGUUGACUUUUUUUCAGCGUUGAUUAGUUUUCCUAAUUGACACGUUUGAAAUAUUUUAUUUCAACUUAUUGAAACAACUCUUAGCAAUGGAUAUCUUGGUUCUC
rnacentral:misc_RNA from 1 species